CGCAACCUGGAGAGGAAGCUUUAAGGGGUUUGGAAGCUCCCUUCUCACCAUCUCAGGAGAGCCAGACUGCCACGCCUCGAGGUGAGGUUGGGGGGUCUCGAAACUUCAUGUGUCUUCUCUUCUCCUGGCUGAGCCUCAAAAUCCCUUUUUGAAAUGCAACUGCAGAAGGAAAUGCUCAAGCUGUUUUGAGCCCUUUACUGUUUGGUGCAGAUGGGGUGACUAGAAGGACUGGGAGCAGGUUGUGAGGGGGCCUGGUGAGGACUGAGGGUGAGCUGCAGGCGUCCAGGAGCCCCCAGGGUCAAGGAAGGAAGAGAGUGGAGCCUGAGGAGACAGACCAUCUCUGCGACUUAGCUGGGGGAAGACCCCACAUUCAUAGAAAAAAAAACCCAAAUGCAUUUUAAUGUAUGCUGAAGUCAAGAGGACAGCAAACUCACUUAGAGAAGGACCCAGUGGAGGAGAUUGGAAGUGGAUAGUUCCAGUUAACAAGAACCUCUCUUUUUAAGUGAAACAAAGAACUUGAUGACUAUUUCCCUGAGGCUGAAGCACGGUCACCCACGUGGAAAGCUGUUAAGGGUGGAUGUAAGUAUAGUAUCUAGCUAGCUGGGGAUUGGCGUCAGAAGAUGAAAACUGUCUGUUUGUGGCAUGUGGCUGGAAAUGGCAUCUCCAAGUGACUCCUAAAACAGAAGUCCAGGUUCCAUGGACCAGAGGCCCUGGUGGGAUCGGGCCUGUCUGGGUCAGCUGAGACCGCCUCUCCUCCACAAUGGUGAUAUCUUAGAGCUCUCCUUGCCCUGACCUUAGGUCAGACAGCAGGUAAUUUGGAAGUAACUAUAACCCUAAGCUCUGCUAUGUUAAGCUUGGAGGAGGACCAAGAAUAGUCAUGAGGAAUCAGUGAGGUGUGAGGAGCCAGAGCCUGGGAACCAGCCAGUCAAUAAGCUGGAUGGGGAAGUGUGGGGAUACGGAAUUCUGGGAGGCUUGCUUCUGUCACUCGACUUCAAAAUGAGGGAAAAUGGCGCGCAGAUGUUUAUAGCAGCUUUAUUCAUAACCACCAAAACUUGGAAGCAACCAAGAUGUCCUUCAGCAGCUCAUAGGUUGUAAGAAAUGUACCAACACCAAUGCAAGAUGUUAAUAAGAGCGGAAACUGUGGAGGAAGGAGUGCUUUUCAAACUUUAAUGUGAAGUGAAUCACCUAACGGUCUCAUGAAAAUGCUGAUUCUGAGGAGCGUCCUGAGAUUCUGCGUUUCUAACAAGCUCCCAGGUGAUGGCGCUGUUGCUGGUCCACGGACAAUGAGUCGCAAGACACUAUUUCACCAUCACGGCGAGAACUGGAGAGAGCUUUGUGAAGAGGGAUCCACGCUAACCUGAAUUAAAGAAGCAAAAGUCUCAUUAAUAAAGAUUUUGAUCCCUAAGAUAAGAAAAAAAGACAUUUAUAUCUAGAAUCUCAUAUCUUUCCUUUUUGGUAAGUGAGUGUAGGAGGUACUUGGAAAUAGUCAAUUAACUCAUAAUUUAGAUAUGCUAAAGUUGUUUGCCCAGUGUAAAUUUCAUUUUUUUCUAUACAUUUGAAUCAGAUUCUAUUACAAAAUUUAAUUUUUUUUUUUUUUUUUGCUUUUAACAGUGGAGUUACUUUAGUGUGAAGAAAGAAAUUAGCCAUUGUAUGAUAAGUGAGGUUAUUUGGAAGAGAAUAUGACUAGCUGUCUACCUUGCUUCUUUCCUAUCUGCUGAAGAGGCAAAAAAAAAAAAAAAAAAAAAAAAAAAGAGGUACACACAGUUCCAUGGGCAGCCAAUAAAUAAGAUUGUGUUUGGGAAGAGGUACAACAGAAUCCCCCACUGCACACAGUUGCUCCUACUCUAGGUGUCUGCUGUCACAAACACAGAGGCUGACGACUCGAUUUACUGUGGUAACUUGUAUUUAUAAAUCCACGGAAACUCAGAAGACAACAGCCAGCAUUUACUAAGUCUGAGCUAGGCGCCAGUUGGGGGUCCCGAUCCAAAUGGAGCAAACAAUCUGGUCAGGAAGAUAACAUAAGGAAAAUUAAGCAUUAAAUUAAAACGUAAACUGUAAUUUUACAUAAUUUCACAAACUGCCAGGAGUUUACGGGAAUUAAACGGCGUUUUUAUGGGAAGAAGACAUUAACUUAGAUGGAGAAGGUCAAGGAAGGUUUUCUGAAAGGCAGGAUUUGAAUUGGAAUUUGAAGAAAGGUUAGGUGAGGAGAGAUGGGAACAAGAUGGAUGAGUGUAUCAGGACGGACAAAACAGUUGUGUGCAUACAAGAGAACAUAAGUGUUUGGGAGCUUAUGAGCAGAACCGUUUGCUGGAGUGAUUUAUUUAUUUAACGGAAACAUGGUAGAGGGAGAAAUGGUGGGAAAACAAAGUCGGGAUUAGAUUAAGAAAGGUCUGAAUGUUAGGCUAAGAAGAUUGGACUUGAUUCUGUAAAUAAUAAUAAUAAUAAUAGGGGACCAUUGGAUGUUUUGAGUAGAAGAGUGCAUUUUAACAGAAGUAUUUUAAUAGACUAAUUUCAAUAGUCCAAGUGCAAGGGAUAAGGGACAGAAUUAGGACUGUGGUGAAGGGAAUUGAAUAUGUGAGCUAGAGGGUUGAGCUAAAGGAAUCAGAAACUUUAAUGAUAUUAUAGUUAAUGGGUGGGCAGUAACCUUGAGGCUUGAGGUUAGUAGAAUAGAAAAUGAACAGUUUGGGGGGAAAUAAAUUAAAUUUGAGAUAUUUUAAGUUUUAAGUAAUAGUAGGACGGACACCUGGAAGAAUCCAGUAGACAACUGGAAGUGUGACAGUGUGACCCUGCCUAGAGGUAGUCAUGCCUGGAGCCUUGGGUGUGAAAGACUCUGCUAGGGAACCGCGCAGAGACAGAACCUUGGGCAGUGCCCCUUUGGGCAGCCUGGGUGGGGAAAGAGCAGUAAGAAGGAAGAGGAACCCAGAGUGUGACAGCCUUGAAGGGAAGAGGGAGCGUCAGGCCAGGGGCUGCGGCCACAGCAUUGAACGCUGCAGAGAAACCAGACCAUCUGAUCAAGGGAAGGUUCUUCAAGGCUCCUGGCACCUUUCCCAGCGUGGACAACAUGGAGGGAGGGGUGGAAACCAGGUGACUGACGAGACUGAGGGGUGAGCAAGUCACAACAAAGGUAGAAUUUGUGGACAUUUCCUUAGACAAAAGAAAAAAUAGGAUGGAAACUGAAGGAGAAAGGAAGAGCAAGUGCUUUUGUUGAUUUUCAAUUUAUUAUAGUGGCGACACAGCUUUCUUUGUUUUUUGAUUAAGGGGGAAAAAUGAGAGAAAAAUUGAUGGUAUCUAAAAACUGCAGACGGACGGGAAUUUGAGUUGUUAAAAUCCUGAAGGAGUCAGGCCCUCUGGGAAAGGGGUGAGCCUUGGAAAUGAGAAAGGAAAACCCCCCACACCAAAAACAACCCAGAACACCACUGCCUCCACAUAUCUGGAAGAAGAGGGAUGCAGAGAUGCAGUACUCAGGCUCCUGGGGGUCCCACCAGCUCAAUAAAGAAGCAGGUGAGACAGUUUUCAAGCUCUGGGCCUGGAGGUGAAGUGGAAGAAUGGAGAAUGUUGGGACAGGCCAUUGAAUCAGGAAAUUGGCAAAAGGUGAAUAAAGAGCAUUGCUAAACAACAGUUGAGAUGAGCAUGAAUACACCAAGUAAGCACAAACACACACCUAAGGACAGUGGUCGUGACUCAGGGAUGUGGAACCAGCGCAAGAGACUGAGGGACAUGAGGUGAGCGCCAGGAUGCAAGUGCUGAGGGCAACACCCAGGUGGCUGGCAUCAAGUCCACCUAGGGUUAAUACAACUCAAGUGGGAUGAUCCAGACACCAUAGCAUAUCAACAAGAGGAAGAUGAUUAAGAAUGGCGAACAAAAACAACUGAGAGACUAUUUCAACUCUGAGCAUCCCAAUUUAAAAGGCACUUGUUGGGGAUCAAGCAAAGGGCAAUAACGUACUGAGCACCAUGUGCUCAGCACUGGGCUUGGGCAUGUUGGGGAUACACAGAGGCAUGAGGCAGUGUUCCUGCCCUCAGGGAGCUUUUGUGUAGUUGGAGAGAGGACACAGGCAUCUCACAUCCUCUGAGCACAUCCACAUUGUGCAGUAGAGACAGGACUUUAAAGACGGUGAAGAAGAGCUGGUUGGAGCAGAGCCGUUGAGAAGUGGCCAGGGUGGCAGAACAGGAGUCGUCCUCUCUCCUACCUUCUUCACAUCUUCUCUUCUAUUCACAUCCAAGCCACAUAGCUGCACCUCCAAGAGAUUGGAAAUGGAGACAAGAAAAGGGUAACUGUGACUUUCUUAUCAUGUGAGAGAGCCCUGAAAGCUUCACUCCCCUCCCUGCUCAGAAAGAUUUGAAGGCAACACUCAUCUUCCUUCUGUGCCCCAUGUAGGGCAUUUCGCUCAUCAGGGCAAGCUGUGUUGAGAGGAAGAAAUGAGAUCUGUGAGAGGUGAGAAGUCUGGCAUCUUUUUUUAUAAAAAAAAUUUAUUUAUUUGUUUCCCCUCCCCUGUUAUAUUGAGAUACAAUUGACAUAUAACACUGUAUAAGUUUAAAGUGUACAACAUAAUGAUUUGACAUAAGUAUUUAUUGUAAAAUGAUUGCCAGAAGAUUAAACAUUCAUCACCCCACAUAGUUACAAUUUCUUUUGCCCCUUGUGAUGAGAACGUUUAAGAUCUACUCUCUUAGCAACUUUCAAAUAUACAAUACAAUAUUGUUAAAUACUGACAUCACGGAGUCCUUGAUGAGCAGGAAGCAGCCGGGAGCCACGCCGCAGCUCACAGCCACUGAAAGCACGGCUGCCCUUGGAGCAUUCCUAUGGGCUGUGGGGAGGUCUGCUCCUUGAGCGCUCCCUCACUGCUAUCCCCACUCCUGGGGUCUGCCCUGACUUCAGAGCAUGCUGUUCAGAUCAUUCAAGCCUGGGGAGGAACUCUGGACCUGCCACUUACCAGCUAUGUGACCUUGGGCAACUUGCUUAAGACAACUGAGUCUCAUUUCCCCCUCCAAUGGGGUAAUAAUUCUUGUAGGAAAAGUGUGUGGCACUAAGCAACUGC
ensembl:lncRNA